AUUGAACGCUGGCGGCAUGCCUUACACAUGCAAGUCGAACGGCAGCGGGGGAGAAGCUUGCUUUUCCUGCCGGCGAGUGGCGAACGGGUGAGUAAUACAUCGGAACGUGCCCUGUAGUGGGGGAUAACUAGUCGAAAGAUUAGCUACUACCGCAUACGACCUGAGGGUGCAAGUGGGGGACCGCAAGGCCUCAUGCUAUAGGAGCGGCCGAUGUCUGAUUAGCUAGUGGGUGGGGUAAAGGCCUACCAAGGCGACGAUCAGUAGCUGGUCUGAGAGGACGAUCAGCCUCCCUGGGACUGAGACACGGCCCAGACUCCUACGGGGGGCAGCAGUGGGGAAUUUUGGACAAUGGGCGAAAGACUGUUCCAGCAAUGCCGCGUGUGUGAAGAAGGCCUUCGGGUUGUAAAGCACUUUUGUCCGGAAAGAAAUGGCUCUGGUUAAUACCUGGGGUCGAUGACGGUACCGGAAGAAUAAGGACCGGCUAACUACGUGCCAGCCGCCGCGGUAA
rnacentral:rRNA from 1 species